rnacentral:rRNA from 1 species
UACGGAGGGUGCAAGCGUUAUCCGGAUUCACUGGGUUUAAAGGGUGCGUAGGUGGGUUGGUAAGUCAGUGGUGAAAUCUCCGGGCUUAACCUGGAAACUGCCAUUGAUACUAUCAAUCUUGAAUACCUUGGAGGUGAGCGGAAUAUGUCAUGUAGCGGUGAAAUGCUUAGAUAUGACAUAGAACACCAAUUGCGAAGGCAGCUUACUACCCGAAUAUUGACACUGAGGCACGAAAGCGUGGGGAUCAAACAGG